GGUCUUAAGGCGGUGCUCCCUUCAAACCAAUAAACGGUCGAUCUGAUGGGUGGUACAGCUGCUCGUUCAUGGUUCCCACUGUCCCAUCUCAUCAGAGAGAGAGAGAGAUGCUUGAGAUGGGCUUGUGGUUUGCAUGACCGAGGAGCUGCACGUCCCCUUCGUUGACCGCUGUUUGGAUUGAAGGGAGCUCUGCAUCUUGGUCCC
rnacentral:pre_miRNA from 1 species